rnacentral:rRNA from 1 species
CCAAGGAAGAAAUUUUGACGGUACCUGAGGAAUAAGCAUCGGCUAACUCUGUGCCAGCAGCCGCGGUAAUACAGAGGAUGCAAGCGUUAUCCGGAAUCACUGGGCAUAAAGCGUUUGUAGGUUGCUUAGCAAGUCUGUUGUUAAAGAUCAGGGCCUAACCCUGGGAAAGCAAUGGAAACUUCUUGGCUUGAGUAUGGUAGAGGUAGAGGGAAUUCCUGGUGUAGCGGUGAAAUGGGUAGAUAUUAG